CGGAAAUGGGGCUCGUGUCCCGCGGCGCGGCCGCGGCGGGGCUGGGGGCCGCGAGCGCUGUCGUCCUCCCGGGCCCGCCCGACGCGGUCCCCGACCGCAUCUCGACCUCGCCGCCCGAGGGCGCGGCCCCGGGGAGCAGCCGCUCCCGGCAUGGUGCUCAAGGCCUUCUUCCCCACGUGCUGCGCCUCGGCUGACAGCGGCCUGCUGGUGGGGCGCUGGGUCCCGGAGCAGAGCAGCGCCGUGGUCCUGGCGGUAGUGCACUUUCCCUUCGUCCCCGUCCAGGUGAAGGAGCUCCUGGCUCAGGCGCGCCAGGCCAGCCGGGUGGGGGUGGCCGUGCUGGGCACCUGGAGUCACCGCCGCCAGGAGGCUGCGGAGAGCCUGGGCCGCUUCCUGGAGGGCCUGGGCGCCAUCUUCUCCCACGAGCCCUGGCUCCAGCUGUGCCGGGAGAGGGGCAGCAAGUCCUGGAGCUGCACGGCCACCCGCCGGCAGGUGCCCGCCUGCCCCAGCGCCCCCCAUGAGGACCAGGUCAUGCUUGUCUUCUACGACCAGCGCAAGGUACUGCUGUCCCAGCUGCACCCGCCCGCGGCCCUGCCCGACCGCCAGGCCGGCGAUGCCACGGCCAGUGCCGGCGGCUUGGCUGCCGUCUUUGACACGGUGGCGCGCAGCGAGGCCCUCUUCCGAAGUGACCGGUUCGACGAGAGCCCCAUGCGGUUGAGCCACUGGCAGUCGGAGGGCGUGGAGGCCAGCAUCCUGGCAGAGCUGGCGAAGCGCGCCUCGGGGCCCAUCUGCCUGCUGCUGGCCUGCCUGCUGUCGCUUGUCUCAGCCACCAGCGCCUGCCGGGUGUUCCAUCUGUGGCCCCUGUCCUUCCUCUGGAGCAAGCUCUCCACAUGCGAGCAGCUCAGGCACCGGCUGGAGCAGCUCACGCUCGUCUUCAGCACCCAGAAGGCCGAGAACGCCACCCAGCUGAUGAGAAAGGCCAAUGUGCUUGUCUCUGUGCUUCUCGAUGUGGCCCUUGGUCUUGCGCUGCUGUCCUGGCUUCAUGGGAAGGACCGGAUCGGACAGCUGGCAGAGGCGCUUGUCCCCGUGGCUGACCAUGUGGCUGAGGAGCUCCAGCAUCUCCUGCAGUGGCUGAUGGGGGCACCUGCUGGGCUGAAGAUGAACCGGGCGCUGGACCAGGUCCUGGGCCGAUUCUUCCUAUACCAUCUGCACCUGUGGAUCAGCUACAUCCACCUCAUGUCCCCCUUCAUCGAGCGCAUCCUGUGGCACGUGGGCCUCUCAGCCUGCCUGGGCCUGACGGUCGCCCUGUCUAUCCUGUCCGACAUCAUCGCUCUCCUCACCUUCCACAUCUACUGCUUCUAUGUCUACGGCGCCAGGCUGUACUGCCUGAAGGUCUGCGGCCUGUCCUCGCUCUGGCGUCUCUUCCGGGGGAAGAAGUGGAAUGUCCUGCGCCAGCGGGUGGACUCCUGCUCCUACGACCUGGACCAGCUGUUCAUCGGGACUUUGCUCUUCACCAUCCUGGUCUUCCUCCUGCCCACCGCAGCCCUGUACUACCUGGUGUUCACCCUGCUCCGGCUCCUGGUGGUGGCCGUGCAGGGCCUGAUCCACGUGCUCGUGGACGUCAUCAACUCCCUGCCGCUGUACUCCCUCGGCCUCCGGCUCUGCCGGCCAUACAGGCUUGCGGAACUUUCUGCCUUGGGAAUUCCCAGGAUGGGAGCACAAACUGUAGGCCAGGGGCACGGAGGGCUCCCGAGCCAGCCGCGCACACAGAAUCUGGAAGACGUUUAGCUGCCAGCAGGGUGGCCACACGCCACCAGGUGCCCGUCCAUCCUGUGGGACAGCCCGCAUCCAUUCGGAAAGAGCACAGCAUGUGCCGCAGUGCCCAGCUGGCUCCCGCUGCCUCCCAGGCCCGCAGCGUCUGUCUGUCCAUGAAGUUCUGUGGAAGCUUUGAUUGUGGCCAGGUGGUCAGCUCAGGGACAGACACGGAGACUGGGUGGAGUGGGGGCGGGUGAGCCCAUGGUGCGUCCCAGCGCCACCCACAGCCUUCUGAGUGCCACCGGAGGCGCAGGGGACUUCUGCCCACACCUGCCUGUGCUGAUGCCGGAGGCCUGGGAGGCUGUCUGCGGGCCCUGCGGGCCUCGGGGAGCCUCCGGCCUCCCUCACGGGCACCUUGCUCCCCCUGCAGCCGGUGUGAAGUUCCGGGUCCUGGAGCACGAGGCUGGGAGGCCCCUCCGCCUCUUGAUGCAGAUAAACCCACUGCCCUACGGUCGCGUGAUCCACACC